ACAAAUGAGUUAAAUGAGGAUUUGUAGAUAAUUGCAAGGUGACAAGAAUGUCCCCACGUGGCUUUACAGCAAGGAGCAGCAAGUGGGUAGUACAAAUUGUCAUGUUGGUGGCAUCUUUAUAGCCGAUUUCUUAGUGAUAAAGUCAUGCCUUUAAUUGUGUGGAGCCAUGGCCAUAAAUAGAGAAAUUCUUCACUUAAGCUCUCAUUUUUAGUGAUAUGGAAUUUAAUAAAAUAGGCCUGCUCUCUGCGGAGCCAUGACAAACAAAAACGAACAGAAGAUUGGUCAUGACUUUGGUCUCGUUGGUCCAUUUUCAUCACGACAAAUAUACAUUCGUUUAGUUGCUUCAAACACACGGUGCUAUCGUUAAUCUGGAAAUAUUUCAAGAUUGGUGAAACCCGAGACCUAAGUUAUGGUUAACUUGGGAAGCGACAAGCCCCAGAUUGUUUGGCAGGUUAACUGUAUAGUUAGGAUGCUUGGACGUCAGCUGGGAUUGACAAGUUCCACCUCAUUCUGGAGCUGUGCUGAGUCAUGUAUAGAUAUGCAUGAUUAUGGGUAUGUCAGGGCCCUGCCCUCACUCAUAAUGUUCAGUUUACUUCUUAGAGACUUUUGCAGACAAUGUCCUGUGGUAUGUUUGUCGAGAUGUCGACAAAGUGAUGUCAGUUGAGUCAUUUGUGGAUUUUAAAAGAGUAUGUAUUUUAGAUGAUUUUAAUUGGUUUAAAGUACUUAUUUGAUUAAAAUUUUUCAUAAUCGUUAUAAAGAUAAUGAUUUCUAUUUGGAAAAGUUUUAUAUUCUUAAAAGUUUUUGAAAUGAUAUGAUUUGAUAGAGCGAAUGUCUAAGGGUUCGCUCGACUCUGAUUAGAGUCGGGUGCCCGUCAUGCCCUAACACUGUUAGGGUGUGACAAAGUGGUAUCAGAGCAGUUCGUUCUAGGGGUUGUCUGCAAAGUCGUGUCAGGUAGAGUCUUGUUCAUCAUGGGUGUGUUGUCGACCACACUUAUGAACAGGAGGCUACAGGGAAUCUAGGAUGGUUUCCCUUCAUUCAGGCCAUAAAUUGUGCUAUAGAAUUGUGUUAUAGGCCUUGAAUCCUUGCUGCUAAUUUUAAGAUUUGAAUUUUGAUUAAGAGAUUGUAAAGUGCAGCCAUGAUUGCGAAAUUGGAAUUGUUCGUAAGAAAGAUAAGUUCUCUGAUGAUUAAUGAUUGCUAUUUGAGGUAAGUGAUGCAGGUUAAGGAUUGCAGUAAGAAAGGUAUGCUUCUUAGCGAAUUGAGAAUGCCAUUGUGAAGAGCAUUUGUACAGGUAUAUAUAGGGUGUUGUAAUAUGAUUGUGGCCCUGUGAGGCAAGUUGAUAUAUUUUGAUUGUUGCCCUGUGAGGCUUGUUGGUUAGCUGUGUACAGGUGGGUAGUACAAAUUACAAAGGAGGUUCUGCCAAAAUUUGGUUAAAAAUUGAUUGUGAUCAGUAUAUAUAUGUGUGCUAUGAGCAGUAAGAUACACAAGUGUAAACUGAAGAAUGAAAGAUUAAUAAUAGUUGUAAAUCGACUGAAAGGAGGGUUAUGAGAUGGGUUCAGAAUGAGUUUGAGAGUUAGGUUGAAAUUACUCGAGGAUAUAGACGUGAGUCGAGGGUUAAGUUAAGUUCUCUCGGGGAUUAGAAGUAAGGUUGAUGAACUAAGAUUAAUGUUAUUCGAAUAAUGUGAUAAGAUUACUGGAAGAGACAAAAGAGGGGAAGCAAUGAUAAGCAAGGAGUCAUUCGAGAAGUGAGUUAGUAUAAAAAAAAAAAAAAAAAAAAAGUAAGCUUUAACGAGUAAAGAAUGAAACAAGGAAGAGAAAGAAACAUGAUUAUAUGUGUUUGAGGAAAGGGAGUAACGUGAUAUUAGUAAGUGUUGGAAUUGGAUAUGAGUAUUAGUCUUCAUUUAACAUUCGAGGACGAAUGUUUCUAAGAGGGGAAGGAUGUUACAUCCCGUAUUCUCAUGCGUUGGAAAGUGUGCGAGUUAAAUGAUAUUAGUAAUGGAUACGAGGUUAUCCCCCAAGCUUAUAGGAGGUUAAAGUGAUGGUACACAUGUAUCGUAAGGAUUUGAAGUUAAACCAAUCGAAGAAAAUAAAUUUUGUCGAGUUUCAACAUUUAUUUGAGUGAAAUACGGUCCAAGCUAUAAUACCCCGUAUUUUUGGACUAGAACAUUUAAUCGUCCAACAUGAGCAAAUUUACCAAGCCCGGAGAAUUCGAUCAUACUCAAGGAUGAAAAUCGAGAGCUCAGUGUACAAAGAGUUUGAGGUCCCAAAAUAAUUUAGGGCUUAACAAGUGUGAUCACGGUGAUUGAGAAUAAUAUUUUAUGUGUAUCAAAAGAGACUAUGGACUAGUGCUAUAUCACAUAAUCAUGGCAAUGAAUAUAUGAAGUGCAUUAAAAAUAAUUGCUAUUAAAGUGAAUUGAGAUCAAGAAAUUAAUUAUGUGUAUAAUUGGUUAGAUGUUGGAUUUUACGUGGAGGUAUAAAAUUAAAUAAAUUGAACAAAUGCCACCUCUCCAAUACGUGGCAGUAGCUAAACAAUAUGAUAGCACUACGUUCUUAUAGUGUGAUGAGUCAAGUGCACUUGAAAGUGCAUAGUGCCACGUGGAAACAAGGAGACAAAUGAGUUAAAUGAGGAUUUGUAGAUAAUUGCAAGGUGACAAGGAUGUCCCCACGUGGCUUUACAGCAAGAAGCAGCAAGUGAGUAGUACAAAUUGUCAUGUUGGUGGCAUCUUUAUAGCCGAUUUCUUAGUGAUAAAGUCAUGUCUUUAAUUGUGUGGAGCCAUGGCCAUAAAUAGAGAUAUUCUUCACUUAAGCUCUCAUUUUUAGUGAUAUGGAAUUUAAUAAAAUAGGCCUGCUCUCUGCGGAGCCAUGACAAACAAAAACGAACAGAAGAUUGGUCACGACUUUGGUCUCGUUGGUCCAUUUUCAGCACGACAAAUAGACAUUCGUUUAGUUGCUUCAAACACGCGGUGCUAUCGUUAAUCUGGAAAUAUUUCAAGAUUGGUGAAACCGGAGACCUAAGUUAUGGUUAACUUGGGAAGCGACAAGCCCCAGAUUGUUUGGCAGGUUAAGUGUAUGGCUAGGAUGCUUGGACGUCAGCUGAGAUUGACAUGUUCCACCUCAUUCUGGAGUUGUGCUGAGUCAUGUAUAGAUAUGCAUGAUUAUGGGUAUGUCAGGGCCCUGUCCUCACUCAUAAUGUUCAGUUUACUUCUUAGAGACUUUUGCAGACAGUGUCCUGUGGUAUGUUUGUCGAGAUGUCGACAAAGUGAUGUCAAUUAAGUCAUUUGUGGAUUUUAAAAGAGUAUGUAUUUUAGAUGAUUUCAAUUGGUUUAAAGUACUUAUUUGAUUGAAAGUUUUCAUAAUCGUUAUAAAGAUACCUCGA